UACAGAGGGUGCAAGCGUUGCUCGGAAUCAUUGGGCGUAAAGGGUAGGUAGGUGGUCUCAUUUGUCUGGGGUGAAAGCCCAGGGCUUAACCCUGGAAGUGCCCCGGAAACGGUGAGACUGGAGUCUUGGAGAGGGUCGUGGAAUUCCCGGUGUAGCGGUGAAAUGCGUAGAUAUCAAGUGGAACACCAGUGGCGAAGGCGAGUCCCUGGACAGAUCCUGACGCUGAGGCACGAAAGCUAGGGGAGCAAACAGG
rnacentral:rRNA from 1 species